rnacentral:lncRNA from 1 species
UUUUAUUUUAUCUUUUAUUAGGUUAUUCUAUUCACAUGAUCCGGCUCAAGAGGCUUGACGGCCUUACCAGGGUUUGGUGGUAUUUUAAUUUUUAUGUUUUUUUUUAAUUUUUUUUCAAUUCUAUCCUUUCAUAUUUGAAUUGUUGGAAAUUAGGUAUCAUUAUUUUUUUUUGGUUUAAGUUAUUUUUUUUAAUUUAUUCUUUAACAUUGGAUUGUUUUAGAAUUGAGCUUCGUAAUUGUUUUUUGUUAAACUUUUUUUUUGCACGUCAUUGUUAUUAUUAUUUUUAAAAAAAUUAGUGCAAUUACUUCUUUUUUUUAUCUUCUGAUUAUAUGAAACCAUUUUAUCAUAUCUUAUUAUAUCUCGUAGGACCUAUAACUCAAUUUACAAUUUUUUUUUAAGCAUACCAGCAACAUCCAAAUAUCAUUUUUCAAGCUAAGAAAAUAUUUAGCCUGGCUCGAGACGAAG